rnacentral:rRNA from 1 species
GACAGAGGUGCCGAGCGUUAGGCGGAAUCACUGGGCUUAAAGCGUGUGUAGGCGGAGGCCUAAGUACCUUGUGAAAUCCCACGGCUCAACCGUGGAACUGCUUGGUAUACUGGGUCUCUUGAGCCACCUAGGGGCAAGUGGAACAAACGGUGGAGCGGUGAAAUGCGUAGAUAUCGGGAGGAACACCGGUGGCGAAGGCGGUUCUCUGGGCCUUACCUGACGCUGAGGAGCGAAAGCGUGGGGAGCGAACAGG